CUCGUGUCGUGAGAUGUUGGUUAAGUCCCGCAACGAGCGCAACCCCUAUUGUUAGUUGCCAUCAUUCAGUUGGGCGACUCUAGCGAGACUGCCGGUAAUAAACCGGAGGAAGGUGGGGAUGACGUCAAAUCAUCAUGCCCCUUAUGACCUGGGCUACACACGUGCUACAAUGGUUGGUACAACGAGUUGCGAGUCGGUGACGGCGAGCUAAUCUCUUAAAGCCAAUCUCAGUUCGGAUUGCAGGCUGCAACUCGCCUGCAUGAAGCCGGAAUCGCUAGUAAUCGCGGAUCAGCAUGCCGCGGUGAAUACGUUCCCGGGCCUU
rnacentral:rRNA from 1 species